CUGACAUUGUGUGAAAUUCUUGAAAUUUGUGCUGUGAAUUGGAACCGUCAGAUCAUGGAUGGCUGAGAUUUGCUACUUCGGCAAACUGUGUGAAUUUGGUACAGCAGCAAAUCCUAAUCCGCGUAUAAGUGGGGUGUUUGAGAUUGGGCGCAUGGGAUAGUUUUCCAUUUGGAGUCAUGUUACGAGGAUGUGAAUAAUUGCUCAUGCCAAAAAAGUGACACUUUGACUAUGGGGAUUUUCAAAUGCAACUCUCGCAAGGAUUAUGUAAUGAGUAAAUCAAUGAAACACAGAAAUGCAUAUAGAGAAUUCAACUUUCUCAAAGGAAUCAGAAAAUCACUUAAUGAGGAGGAGAUUGUAAAGUGGAACGAUCUCAUUACAACUAAAAAUAAAAGCAUUGCGACCGAUGAAUGAAUAUAGAUGCUAUUUAUUUUAAUUUAAUAUUGUAGUAUUUUCUAAAGUUGUGCAUGAUGUGAGACAUUGCAUGAAUUCAGGAUAAAAGAAACUUGUUUAUUGUUGUAAUUUUAUUUCUUGAUUUAAAAUACUAUGGUUUGUUAAGACUCUCACUAAUUUGAGAGACAAAAAGAUUAUUUUUUAUUUUGUUAGA